rnacentral:tRNA from 1 species
CGCGGGGUGGAGCAGCUUGGUAGCUCGUCGGGCUCAUAACCCGAAGGUCGUGGUCACGAGUCCAACCCGAGCAACCA